GUUAAAUUAAGUAAACAAUGGAUCUUCGAUUGAUAUUUUUCUAAUGCAGAAUUUGAAGAACAUCAACCCCGAACUCAGCACCACAGAUAUUGCAAAGAAGCUUGGAGAGAAGUGGCAAAAGAUGUCAGCUGAGGAGAAGCAGCCAUACCUUGAGCAGUCCCAAGUGGAUAAGAAACGCUAUGCAGAGGAGACUGCUGCUUACCGCGGUGCUGGUGCAGCUCCUGUAGACAUGGACUCUGCAGAUGGAUCGUCCGAUUGAAUUGGAAGAUUGGCCGGUUGCCGAAAGGAACAUACUUUCGAGUCAUGGUACAAGUAGACAUCCGAUCUAUCUUGGCUGUAGUAACUUGGGAGGUGUGAUCCUUACGUUUCUGAGUUAACAAAGAACAGUUAGUGGAUAUGUGUAGGUUUCCAAGGUACUGUUGCUUUGCUACUAACUGUCAGCACCUGCGACAGGUGUUUUAUUCGCUCGCUGGUUGUGCAACUUUCUUUUUUGGUAAAAUACUCUAAUUUUCAUUGGAAAUACAGAGCAUCCCAAACCUGAUAAAAAUUACAUUGAAA